AGUGAACGCUGGCGGUAGGCCUAACACAUGCAAGUCGAACGGCAGCACAGUAAGAGCUUGCUCUUACGGGUGGCGAGUGGCGGACGGGUGAGGAAUACAUCGGAAUCUACUUUUUCGUGGGGGAUAACGUAGGGAAACUUACGCUAAUACCUCAUACUACCUACGGGUGAAAGCAGGAGAUCUUCGGACCUUGCGCGAUUGAAUGAGCCGAUGUCGGAUUAGCUAGUUGGCGGGGUAAAGGCCCACCAAGGCGACGAUCCGUAGCUGGUCUGAGAGGAUGAUAAGCCACACUGGAACUGAGACACGGUCCAGACUCCUACGGGAGGCAGCAGUGGGGAAUAUUGGGCAAUGGGCGCAAGCCUGAUCCAGCCAUACCGCGUGGGUGAAGAAGGCCUUCGGGUUGUAAAGCCCUUUUGUUGGGAAAGAAAAGAAGCAGGUUAAUACCCCGCUGUUCUGACGGUACCCAAAGAAUAAGCACCGGCUAACUUCGUG
rnacentral:rRNA from 1 species